rnacentral:rRNA from 1 species
CCCUUAGAUGUCCUGGGCCGCACGCGCGUUACACUGAUGCAUUCAACGAGCUUAUAACCUUGGCCGAGAGGCCUGGGCAAUCUUGUUAACGUGCAUCGUGAUAGGGAUAGAUUAUUGAAAUUAUUAAUCUUGAACGAGGAAUUCCUAGUAAACGCAGAUCAUCAAUCUGCAUUGAUUACGUCCCUGCCCUUUGUACACACCGCCCGUCGCACCUACCGAUUGAAUGGUCCGGUGAAAUCUUCGGAUUGAGACCUUGAUUUGUUUACUCAAAACGCUGUUUCAAGAAGUUGAUUAAACCUUACCAUUUAGAGGAAGGUGAAGUCGUAACA